CAUGGAAGGCCAAAAAAUUAAAAAAAGAAGCACACCCAAUUUGCUUACAUGUCCAGAACUGAAACCCAACACGGAAGCAACGCGCUUUCUCCACCUGGGCCAGCAGUUUCCUUCCUACUUUACUUCUCCAUUCGGCAAACCCAGUUUGAUCCAAUAAAUAGAUUUUUCUCAUCUCUCAUAUUCAGUGACAAACCCCCUGCUUCUGGGCUUGAUCCAAAAGGGCUUUUCCUCAUCUGACCAUGCUGUUUUUCUGGUUUCUCUGAGUCUCACCUUCCCAAGCUUCAAUCAGUAGGAGUAAAAGGUGGUUUUGGUGAAGGAAGAGCAUGGUUGAUCAUCAUCAUCAUGGCAGCGAGCGGUCUUCAAGGAGCAGACCAAGAGGCGAUUCGCUUCUGGGAAGCUGCUGCUGCCCUUUUUUUUGGGUUUCGGCUACGUUUAGAGGGAUCGGGAGAUGCGUGUUUGUGAGUUGUUACCCCAUAAUUCAAUGCUUUGGGUGGGAUGAUUGCAAGCACCACCACCAUAGGCAUUUCUGAAUUUAUCAAUUCAAACAUUCUGAUCCAACCUGUUUGAUUUCCUCUUUUUUUGUGUUUGAUUCUCCCGUACCCUCAAUUUGAUUGGUUGCUGAGAAAACACGAGAAAAAGAUCAAGAAACUUGUACAGGAAGAAGAAGAAAAAAAGAAAAACAAUUGGAAUCUUCCAAAGUUUAUUCUGUUCUCUCUUUAAAAUAAUGUCUCUGUUAACAGGCUGUUUGUGUUCA